AGGGUAAUAGCUCAGUGGCAGAGCAUGUGCUUAACAUGCAUGAGGUCCUGGGUUCAAUCCCAAGUACUUCUA
rnacentral:tRNA from 1 species